rnacentral:rRNA from 1 species
AUGCAGUCGAACGGCAGCGCGGGGCAACCUGGCGGCGAGUGGCGAACGGGUGAGUAAUACAUCGGAACGUGCCCUGUGAUGGGGGAUAACUACGCGAAAGCGUAGCUAAUACCGCAUACGACCCAAGGGUGAAAGUGGGGGAUCGCAAGACCUCACGUCAUAGGAGCGGCCGAUGGCGGAUUAGCUAGUUGGUGAGGUAAAGGCUUACCAAGGCGACGAUCCGUAGCUGGUCUGAGAGGACGACCAGCCACACUGGGACUGAGACACGGCCCAGACUCCUACGGGAGGCAGCAGUGGGGAAUCUUGGACAAUGGGGGCAACCCUGAUCCAGCAAUGCCGCGUGUGGGAUGAAGGCCUUCGGGUUGUAAACCACUUUUGGCGGGGGCGAAAUGUCGAGUGCUAAUACCAUUCGGUGAUGACGGUACCCGCAGAAUAAGCACCGGCUAACUACGUGCCAGCAGCCCGGGGUAAUAC